AUGCAAGGUAUGGCCUUGGCUAUCCAGCACUCCAACCGGCCAGUGGUCUUGCAGUCGGAUUUUUCGGAAGCUCUGUCCAGUUUGUCAAAUGAUGCUCUGGUUCAUUCGGCGUAUGGCCAGUUAGUGUUAGAGAUUAAGGAGUUGAUGAGUGAGAGGGAGUUUGUACCUCAGAAAAUUAGACGUAGUCAAAAUAGAGUUGCCGAUCGGUUGGCCACCUAUAGCCGGUCCGAACGAGCUACAACAGUGUGGUUGGGCUCGGUUCCACCUUGUAUCGAGGACUUGUGGCCUCUUGACUGUAACUCUACGAAUUUGCAAUAA
rnacentral:rRNA from 1 species